CCUUGACAUACUAAGAACUUUCCAGAGAUGGAUUGGUGCCUUCGGGAACUUAGAUACAGGUGCUGCAUGGCUGUCGUCAGCUCGUGUCGUGAGAUGUUGGGUUAAGCCCCGNAACGAGCGCAACCCUUUUCCUAUUUGCCAGCGGGUCAUGCCGGGAACUUUAAGGAUACUGCCAGUGACAAACUGGAGGAAGGCGGGGACGACGUCAAGUCAUCAUGGCCCUUACGGCCAGGGCUACACACGUGCUACAAUGGUCGGUACAAAGGGUUGCUACCUCGCGAGAGGAUGCUAAUCUCAAAAAGCCGAUCGUAGUCCGGAUCGCAGUCUGCAACUCGACUGCGUGAAGUCGGAAUCGCUAGUAAUCGCGGAUCAGAAUGCCGCGGUGAAUACGUUCCCGGGCCUUGUACACACCGCCCGUCACACCAUGGGAGUUUGUUGCACCAGAAGUAGGUAGUCUAACCGCAAGGAGGACGCUUACCACGGUGUGGCCGAUGACUGGGGUGAAGUCGUAACAAGGUAGGCGUAGAUGA
rnacentral:rRNA from 1 species